rnacentral:rRNA from 1 species
GAUGAACGCUGGCGGCGUGCCUAAUACAUGCAAGUCGAGCGAACGGACGAUAAGCUCGCUUCUCUGAUGUUAGCGGCGGACGGGCGAGUAAGACGUAGAUAACCAACUUAUUAUACUGGGAGAACUUCGGGAAACAGGAGAUAAUAAUGGCUAAUACUUUGUACCGCAUGGAUCAAAAGUUAAACGGAGCUUGCGCGAUACUUUUAGCUGGUGCCGCGCUGCAUUAGCUAGUUGGUAAGGUAACGGCUCACCAAGGCAACGAUGCAUAGCUGAUCUGAGAGGGUGAUCAGCCACACUGGAACUGAGACACGGUCCAGACUCCUACGGGAGGCAGCAGUGGGGAAUAUUCGGCAAUGGGCGCAAGCCUGACGCAGCAACGCCGCGUGAGUGAUGAAGGUCUUCGGAUCGUAAAACUCUGUUAUUAGGGAAGAACAGAUGUGUAUGUAACUGUGCACGUCUUGACGGUACCUAAUCAGAAAGCCACGGCUAACUACGUG